AAAAAGAGAGUUUCAAAUCUGCUCUAUCUAAAGGAAGGUUCAACUCUGUGAGUUGAAUACACACAACACAAAGUAGUUACUGAGAAUUCUUCUGUCUAGCAUUAUAUGAAGAAAUCCCGUUUCCAACGAAGGCCUCAAAGAAGUCCAAAUAUGCACUUGCAGACUUUACAAACAGAGUGUUUCCAAACUGCUCUAUGAAAAGAAAGGUUAAACUCUGUGAGUUGAACACACACAUCACAAA
rnacentral:lncRNA from 1 species